rnacentral:lncRNA from 1 species
UCUCUUCCUCAAGAGAUCUUAAAAGAUGGGAAGUUGACAGAAGAAUGUUAUGCGCAACUUCACAAUGCAGCAAAUAAACCAUGUGCAGUUCAUGAUGGUUUAGAAGCCACCAAGAUCACUUUCCUGUCAAAAUCCGACCAAAAACACACCUUCCAACCUGUCGGAAAACUUAAAUUCUCAUCAGCUGUGUGCACUUCUAAAUUCUUCUGGCCUUAUUUUAAGUAUCCUCCUCUACCAACACUGCCACCUUUGCCCAAAACGCACCCAUGGUUUGGCCACCAUUUUCCUCUUCCUCAAUUUCCACCAAAGGUUUAUCCAUCAUUCCCAUUUCCACCAAACACACCAUCACCUACUCCUGUUUAUGACCCACCAGUUGUUGAGACUCCCCCUGUUCCAGUAUACAAUCCUCCUCCGGUUGUUGAGACUCCCCCUGUUCCAGUAUACAAUCCUCCUCCGGUUGUUGAGACUCCCCCUGUUCCAGUAUACAAUCCUCCUCCGGUUGUUGAGACUCCCCCUGUUCCAGUAUACAAUCCUCCUCCGGUUGUUGAACCACCACCAGUUUACAAUCCUCCUCCGGUUUACAAUCCUCCUCCUGUUUACACACCAACACCAAAGCCAGAACCACCAGUAGUCAAGCCUCCUUGUGACCCAAAACCAAAGCCACAGCCACCUGUCUACAAACCUGCUCCCAUUCCGGUUUAUAAGCCAAAGCCAAAGCCGCCAGUCUACAAGCCUGCUCCCGUCCCAGUUUACAAGCCAAAGCCAAAUCCAGAGCCUCCAGUCUACAAGCCUGCUCCCAUUCCGGUUUAUAAGCCAAAGCCAAAGCCACCAGUCUACAAGCCUUCUCCCAUCCCAGUUUACAAACCAAAGCCAAAUCCAGAGCCUCCGGUUUACAAGCCUGCUCCCAUUCCAGUUUAUAAGCCAAAACCAAAACCGCCUGUUUAUAAGCCUGCUCCCGUUCCAGUUUACAAACCAAAGCCAAAGCCACCCGUUUACAAGCCUGCUCCAGUUCCGGUUUACAAGCCAAAGCCAAAGCCGCCAGUCUACAAACCGGCUCCGGUUCCAGUUUACAAGCCAAAACCAGAGCCACCGGUUUACAAGCCAGCUCCGGUUCCGGUUCCAGUUUACAAACCAAAGCCAAAGCCGCCAGUCUACAAACCUUCCCCUGUUCCAGUUUAUAAGCCAAAGCCUGAGCCACCGGUCUACAAACCUGCCCCUGUUCCAGUUUACAAGCCAAAGCCAGAGCCACCGGUUGUCAAGCCUCCUUGUGACCCAAAACCAAAACCAGAGCCACCUGUCUACAAGCCUGCUCCCGUUCCUAUUUACAAACCUAAGCCAGAGCCGCCAGUCUACAAGCCUUCUCCAGUUCCAGUUUACAAACCGGAGCCAAAACCGCCUGUUUAUAAUCCUUCUCCUGUUCCAGAUUACAAUCCAACACCAAAAUCACCAUUGCCUCCGGUAAUAGACCCACCUUCACCAAAGAAACCUUGCCCACCAUUUUCUCUCCCAAAGCUUCCUCCUUUGCCCACCAUUCCUCCAAAGUAUUUCCAUCAUCACCCCAUCCUAGGAAAUCAUCAUCAUUUGCCCACCAUUCCUCCAAAAUAUUUUCAUCAUCCCAUUCCUUCCCUACCUCCUAAGUACUCUCAUCCUUAAUUAAGACUUUGCAUGCUAUCAACAAACAAAUAAAGACUUCAUGAUUGGAAACAAUUUGAGAAGAUUAUGCAUAGAGAUUGAUAGAUCCGGCAAAGCGAUUAGGAUUUCGUUUGUGCAUGAAUGUGUAUCAUGUGAAGAUAUUCAAUGGGUUUUGUAAAGUUUCAAGUUUGCAUUUAUAUUGUAUCGAUUGAAUCAAUAAUUGUACUUUUUAACUAAAAGAAGUUAUUAUUUAAAGUUGUGUCUACGAGUGUAUUGUAAGCCUUUUUCUCGUUAAUUUUCAAUGCCAUUUUUUAUUGCUUUUAGUUGAUUGCUUGCGUAACAAUAAGAGUUGUGAAGUUAUCAAAAGCCAUGACAUCCGGUAGCAAUUUGAUCAAUAGAGAAGAAUUCGAGAUGGCCAAAGCUUGAAACUUUCAAUUGUGCCUUGAAAAUUGGGGAAGAAAGUGUAAUAUAGCUAAUUAGAAGUAAUACGUAAACUACCACCAAUUACAAAUAUAUACAAGAAAAUAUAUAUUAUAACACGUGCAUUAUAAUACGUAAAGGGCAAAAUCGUAAAUAAGUCCUAAUAUACAAUCCAAGUUCAACAAACCCCUCCUACAUAAAGGUAACCGCACGAUGCUGCCACGUGUCCAUACGAACAAUUGAGAUUCACUUGCUGAGUUGAUCUACCGUGACAGUCGACUAUAUAAUUACACCUUGUGUUUUUUACUGUGUGUAAAAGUGUAGAAACGCGGUGAAAGUAAUUAAGGGCAAAAUCAACAAUGGCAAAUCCUAGGGUUUUCUUCGAUAUGACCGUCGGCGGUUCACCGGCCGGCAGGAUUGUGAUGGAGCUGUUCGCUGACACAACUCCAAAAACAGCAGAGAACUUCCGUGCACUCUGCACCGGUGAGAAAGGAACCGGUACUUCCGGCAAAAAUCUGCAUUACAAAGGAUCGUCAUUCCACCGUGUGAUCCCCAAUUUCAUGUGCCAGGGCGGUGAUUUCACCAGAGGUAACGGCACCGGCGGUGAGUCCAUCUAUGGUAACAAAUUCGCCGACGAGAAUUUCAAAAAGAAGCACACCGGUCCGGGAAUCCUCUCCAUGGCCAAUGCCGGUCCGAAUACCAACGGAUCUCAGUUCUUCAUCUGUACGGAGAAAACCGAGUGGCUCGAUGGAAAACACGUCGUGUUCGGAGAGGUUGUUGAAGGAAUGGACGUCGUAAGGGCGAUCGAGAAGGUUGGAUCCGGAAGCGGAACCACCUCUAAGCCCGUCGUUAUUGCCGAUUGUGGUCAACUUUCUUAGAUUCAUAUCUAUUUCCUGUUUUUAAUUUCUCAAUUUUGAUUUAAUUGUGUCCAUCGUAUCGACUAUCAUGGUGGUGUUAUCUAGGGUUUUGUACUGGUUGUGUUAAGGGUUUAUAUCUAAGUUGAUGGUUAAUGAUAUGAACUACUUGGUACUAAAUAAAAUUAAGUUUUCCAAUUCCGUUGUUUGACCAGAGAUUUUGUACAAAUCCUUUGUAUUCCAUGAUGGCUUUCAUAUAUCUAAAAAAAAAAAGUUACCAUGACAGAAUUACCCUCCCACAUGUUCUUGACAAUUCCAAAUCAUCAACACUGCAAAUAUUCUCGCAACUGAGGCGCAGACUUUGGAGUGGCACGCUUUAAAUCAAUGUAACCAUGUCCUGGUUAGUAAUUUGGACUUAGCUGAGAAGGAGAAUGCUAAGUUGAAUCGUAUGAUAGGAGAAGAUUGUUCUUCUUGAGCAAGAGAAAGUGGAAGCUGUUUACCAAAUGGAGAAGAAGGCUGUAGCAAUGAUGACAACUGAUUCCAAAGAGCUGGAUAGUUUCAAAGCCGAGGUUGUGAGUGAGCGUUUAGACGCCCUUUAAGUGUAUGCGUUAUGGGUAUCAAUUUGCUCGGUAUGGGUGUGAAAAAGAAUACCAGAGAUAGUUGGAAGAAAUUUCCGUUCUUCAUAUGCACAAAUUAGGUUACAGGAGAAUACAUUUAUACAAGAGAGUUCUACUAAACUAACAACUAAUUAGCCGUAACUAUAGGAUCUGGAACAACUACAACAAUUAUCUGCAAAUGUAUGACUUAUCUUCUCCUAGAAUUGCUCUCGCCAACACUCCCCCUUAAGAUGGAGAAUGUAAACAUUCACAGCUUGCUAAGAGAGCAAUGGAAUGAUCUUCCACACACCGCUUUAGUUAGCAUAUCCGCUAGCUGGUCACUCGAGGCAACAUGUGGAAGUUCUACAGUCUUUCUUUCAAAAUCAUCCUUUAUGAAAUGUCUGUCGUCAAUCUCAACAUGCUUCGUCCUAUCAUGUUGCACUGGAUUGGUUGCAAUCUUCACUGUAGCUUCAUUAUCGCAAUACAACUGCAUUGAAAAUCUUUGUUCAAUUCCAAGAUCACGCAGGAUCCUUUUUAUCCAAAGCAACUCACAAAUACCAUGCACCAUCCCUCUAAAUUCAGCCUCAGCACUGGACCUUGCCACAACCUUCUGUUUUUUACUUCGCCAGGUAGUGAGAUUUCCGCCAACAAACGUGAAGUAACCGGAUGUAGAUUUUCCAUCAUUUCUAUCUCUUGCCCAGUCUGCAUCUGAGUAACCAAAUACACCAUUGCCUUUAUUUUUAUUUUUUCCAAAAAACAAGCCUUUUCCUGGAGAAGACUUGAGGUACUUCAGAAUUCGAUACACUGCAUUCAUAUGGUCUUCACUUGGUGAUUGCAUAAACCGGCUAACUACACUUAUUGCAUAGGCAAUAUCCGGCCUUGUAUGAGAUAAAUAAAUUAACUUCCCGACUAGCCUUUGGUACCUUUCUUUAUUUGUCGGGACUUGUUCUGAUGAACCAGAGAGUUUGUGAUUUACUUCUAUUGGUAUGUCUACUGGCUUAUAGCUCAACAUACCAGUUUUAGUGAGAAGAUCCAGAAUAUAUUUUCUUUGACACAUAGAGAUUCCAUUUUUAGAUCUUGCUACUUCGAUUCCAAGGAAGUACUUUAGUGGCCCGAGGUCCUUAAGCUCAAAUUCCUUCUCAAGAAGUGAUAGGAGUUUGUUUAUUUCAUCAGGAUCGUUUCCGGUGACUAGCAUAUCAUCUACAUACACAAUUAAGGCUGUAAUUUUUCCGGUGUUCUUCACAUAUAGAGUGUGAUCGGCAUCACUCUGUUUAUACCCUAUUUUCUUCAUAAAAUUAGAAAAACGUCCAAACCAUGCUCGAGGUGACUGUUUCAAACCAUACAAUGCCUUCUUGAGCUUACACACUUUCCCAUUAUAGUUUAUUCCUGGAGGCAAAUCCAUAUAAACUUCAUCUUCCAAACACCCAUUUAGGAAGGCGUUUUUCACAUCAAAUUGCUUAAGUGACCAAUGCUCAUUUGCUUCGAUUGAUAUUAAAAUUCUGAUCGUAUUCAUUUUUGCGACAGGUGCGAAUGUAUCCCCAUAAUCAAUGUCGUAUUUCUGCGUAUAACCCUUCGCCACAAGUCGUGCUUUAUACCGAUCUAUGUACCCUUUUUCAUCCAGCUUUAUUGUGAAUAUAAACCUGCAUCCCACCGUCUUCUUUCCCGGAGGGAGUUCCACGAGGUCCCACAUAUCAUUUCUUUGUAAUGCCUCCAUUUCGUUGUUCACAAUAGUUUUCCACUUGGGGUCUUUCAAUGCUUCUUGUAUGUUCGUAGGAAUAGUGACAGUUGACAAUUCCAUCACUAUCAGGGCAUGUGAGCUUGCUAAUUUCUGUUGCGAAACAAAGUUAUUGAUGGGGUACUUUGACUUUGCUCUCAUAUCAGGUUCAUACUGUUUCUUCGGUACUCCUCUAUUGAUACGAGGAGGCAAUCUUGAUUCCUUUUCUGUUUCGGUUUCCUGUACAACAUUAUCAACAAAAACUUCAUUAUUGUUAUCAUUUGUAUCUUCUUGUGACGAUUCUGGCAUGGUGGUGGUUGUACUAUCUUGCAUUCCUUCCUCUUCUGUGGUUGUACUAUCUUGCACUCUUUCCUCUACUUCUUCGAUUAAGUUUUCUCCUGGAGUAUCUAUCGUGAGCUCAUCUACGUCUACCCUUCUUUGAUAUGUGUUCGCUUCAUCUAUACUCUCCCCCUGAUGCAGAGACACAUCUCCACAGUAGGGUUCAGACUCAUGGAAUGCAACAUUCCGAGUUACAUGCACUGUACCAGUCUUGGGAUCGUAACAUUUAUACCCUUUUUUUCUGCAUAUUCAAUAAACAUACAUUUAACAGCUUGUGGUUCAAGUUUACCAAUAUUUUGGUGAACAUAUGCACUACAACCAAACACCCGAGGUUCUAGUUCAUUAUGUAUAGGCAAAUUUGUGAGCUCUUGUAAAUUUCCUAAUGGAGUUUUAAAUUCAAUAACACUUGAUGGUGUUCUAUUCAUUAGGUAAGCUGCUGAUCUAACCGCUUCUCCCCAGAAUUUCUGAGGUACUUUCAUGUCAAACAAAGAAGCCCUUACAAUUUCGAGUAUUUGUUUGUUCCUUCUCUCGGCUAAGCCAUUUUGCUGCGGUGUUUUUGUGCAUGAGGUUUGGUGUCGAAUAUUAUUUUCUUUACAGAAUUGAUGCAUCCUGUGGUUUAUGUAUUCGCCUCCGUUAUCCGAUUGAAGUAUUCGGGUUUCUUUUUGAUAAAAGGUUUUCACUGUAUGAUGCAAUUCUUGAAAGACCUGAAAAACCUCAUCUUUAGUAUUCAUAAUAGAUACCCAAAUCAUUCUUGUUCAUUCGUCAAUAAAAGUAACAAAGUAUUGGGCACCAUUUGGUGUAUGCACUUUUGUGGGCCCCCAUACAUCAGAGUGGAUUACCAUAAAUGGAAUAGAAGAUUUAUUAUCACUAGAACUAUAUGAGAUCUGUUUGCUUUUGGCUAACUCACACACACCACACUUAAACUCAUGAUCCAUUACAUUUAACAAUAAACCAGGUUUCAACUUCCUAAGAUAAGUAAAAGACAAAUGCCCUAAUCUCAUGUGCCAUAACCAUGCCAUGGGUUUAUUUGCUUGCUUCACUCUAGUAUUCAAG